GCCGGAGCUGGCCGGCUAACUUCUAGAACCGGCGUACCACUUGUUUCGAUCCGAUUUUGCGCCGAAUAAUCAAGCCGGCGUAAGCCGAAUUCGCCGCUCUCGAUUGACCGGCGAGCGGGAAAGUAAAAUGGCCGACAAUGGCGCAAAUUUCUAGUGAUUUUGGAAGGUGGACCUGAUUUCUUUGCCAUACAAAAGCACCACAACAUAGCAUUGAAAGUCUAACUGCACAAGAGAGUUCCAACCGCACAAGGAUCUUUGUGGAUGGUCAAUAUAGAAUCUACAUUAGAUGUUCAGAGUGCAGGCUAGUAUUUCACGCAGACUGUGCUCAUUGUGAUCUUGAAGAUAUAAUAACAGGGGACGACCCGUGCAUUUGUGAUGAUUGCGCAAACAGAAUAUUGAAGCUGUGAACUCACUAAUUGGGCGUUUUAAAAGACACCCUAAAAAAUAAUAAUUUGUGGUGGCGCAAUCACUUCUUGUUUUAAGUUUAUUCAGCCUAAUGCCAUAGGACUUUAAAUGUUCUCAUGUUAUGUUUAACAUAUUGUUCAACAGUUGAUGUUAUCACAUACCUAAUUCAAGAAAGAUAUUUGACUUGUGAUAUGACAUAUUAGCCAUGUGAAAUGACAUCUUAGACAUGUGUUAUGACAUUUUAGCCAUGUGUUAUGACAUCUUAGUCAUGUCAUAAUACAUGUCUAAUAUGUAAUAUCACAUAUCUAAGAUGUCAUAUCACAUGACUAAGUUAUCAUAUCAUAUGACUAAUAUUUCAUAACACAUGACUAAGAUGUCAGGUCACAUGUCUUAGUUGUCAUAUCAUAUGACUACGAUGUCAAAUCUUCUGUCUAAGAUGUCAUAACACAUGACUUAGUUGUCAUAUCACAUUUCUAAGUAAACAUAUCAUAUGACUUAAGAUCUCAUAUCAAAUGUGUAAGUUGUCAUAACACAUGACUAAGUUGUCAUAUAACAUGUCUAAGUUAUCAUAUGGCUAAGAUGUCAUAUCACAUGUCUAGGAUGUCAUAACACAUGACUUAGUUGUCAUAUCACAUGUCUAAGUUAGCAUAUCAUAUGUCUAAGAUGUCAUAACACAUGACUUAGUUUUCAUAUCACAUGUCUAAGUUAACAUAUCAUAUGUCUAAGAUGUCAUAUCACAUCUGUAAGUUGUCAUAACACAUGACUAAGUUGUCAUAUCACAUGUCUAAGUUAUCAUAUGGCUAAGAUGUCAUAUCACAUGUCUAGGAUGUCAUAACACAUGACUUAGUUUUCAUAUCACAUGUCUAAGUUAACAUAUCAUAUGUCUAAGAUGUCAUAUCACAUGUGUAAGUUGUCAUAACACAUGACUAAGUUGUCAUAUCACAUAUCUAAGUUAUCAUAUUUUAAUCCACAAAAACUCUUCUUAACUUACAUUUGCGCCAUUGUCGGCCAUUUUACUUUCCUGCUCGCCGGUCAAUCGAGAGCGGCGAAUUCGGCUUAUCAUAUGACUAAGAUGUCAUAUCACAUGUCACGUCAUAACACAUGACUUAGUUGUCAUAUCACAUGUAAUGGUUAUCAUAUCAUAUGACUAAGAUGUCAUUUCACAUGACUAAGAUGUCAUAGCACGCCUAAGUAGUCAUAUCACAUAUAUAAGUUGUCAUAUCAUAUGACUAAGAUGACAUCUUAGUCAUAUGAUAUGAUUACUUAGUCAUGUGUUAUGACAGGGUUUUUUCUUUAUCUUUUAAUAUUUUUAUUAUAACUUAACAUUGUCUUCAAAUUUUUGAUUUUCUUACCUUUGUGAUUGUAUCAGGGAUAUGUGCAGCGGCAGUUGAACGUAUAUUCAUCCACAGUUUUAAUAACCUGCCAUUGUAAUUUAGCAUUAGAGACUGUUCAGUUAGUAGGAAAUGAUUUCAUGGAACCAGAAAUUCUGAUAAGGAGGACUCCAGUUUAAAAGUUGUUUCUGUUACAGUUUAGAGGUUUGGGCUGUAUUAAUGCAAAGUGCCAUACGCAGUUGUAUUUUGUGCCCACAUGUUUCAAUUACUGUUUUUAUACUUCCACAAACGAAGUUUAGGGGGGUAUAUAGGAGUGAGCUUGUCUGUCGGUCGGUCGGUAUUGGUUGUCCGCUCUCUAAUUUAAGUAGUUUUCAUCCGAUCUUCCCCAAGUUUGGUCAGAAGUUUUAUCUAGAUGAUCUUGAGGCCAAGAUCGAACAUUGGUCUUGCUGGGUCAAAAACUAGGUCACGGGGUCACUUAGUGUGUUUUAAACAUCGAGCAUGAUGUCCGCUCUCUAAAUGAAGAAGUUUACUUCCGAUCUUCACCAAACUUGGUCAGAAGUUUUAUAUAGAUGAUCUCUGCGCCAAGUUCGAACAUGAGCCAUGGGUCACUUAGCGGUAGAAUGUUUUACACAUUAAGCAUGGUGUUCGCUGUCUAAUUCAAGUAGUUUUCAUCCGAUCUUCAACACAAUUGGUCAGAAGUUGUAUCAAGAUGAUGUGUAGGUCAAGUUCGAACAUGGGCCAUGCCAGGUCAAAAACUAGGUCACGGGGUCACUUAGUGCGUUUUAAAUAUUGAGCAUGGUGUCUGCUAUGAUUUUGUGAAGACACAUGCAAAAUAUUCUGUGUCAUUGCCACAUGUGGGGGUAUUCGUCACGUCUGUGACAAAGCUCUAGUUCUUUUUAGCUCACCUGAUUGCUCAGGUGAGCUUUUGUGACCGGGCCUUGUCCGUCCGUUAACAUUUAUUCGUAAACACUCUAGAAGGCACAUUUCUUUGCCGAUCUUCAUGAAACUUGGUCAGUACAAUGGUUUUAUUGAUUUCUCUGACAAGUUGGAAAAUGGCUGAGAGCAGUGUUACACACUUUAGCUCACCUGAUUGCUCAGGUGAGGUUUUAGGAUUGGUCUUUGUCUGCCGUCCGUCCGUCAACAUUUGGUUUGUAAACACUCUAGCAUUCACACUUCUUAAGCAUUCUUUAUGAAAGUUGCUGAAAGAUAUAGGUCAAGUUUGAUAAUGAGCAAAAUCACAUAAGUAAUGCCAUAAUUAUUGCCCUUAGAUUGUGUCCAAAUUUUCAUUAUACUAUACAAAAUCAUUGUAAACACUCUAGAGGUCACAAUUUUGUUUCAGAUUUUAUGAAUCAUGGUAAUUUUUUUUCUAAGCGAAGUUUAAUGUUUGGUAAGGGAGGGGGGUCAACUCAAAAUAUAGGUCACCAGGUCAAAUCUCACAAAAACACCCCAUAAGCCAGAGUUUUGAUUCAAUAAUGAUGAAACUUGACCAUGGUGUUUGUCUGGACAAUAUCUAGGUCAAGAUUGACAUUAGGUAAAGAUUGAAUGAGCCAACUCCUCUCAGGUGAGCGAACUAGGGCCAUCUUGGCUCUCUUGGUUAUUUUAUUGUGAUAUAUGAGGUACAUAUUGAUACAUGUGAUAUUUUUAUUUUUAUUUUACUGUUAUAUAUGAAGAACAUAUUGAUAUAUGAUUUUUAUUUUACUGUGAUAUAUGAGGAACAAAUUGAUAAGUUUUGUCAGACAGGUGUUUCAAACCUGCUGUCACAGGCAUGACAUAAUGAUAUACGCAUUAUACUCGUAAUAUGUUCAAUAUUUCGGAAAUAAACAAGUAAAACCAAA